GUUUUAAGCUUCCACCUAACAUAGCAUAGAUUAUUAAUAUUCCUCUACAGGUUACUCUCACACGUCAUCACGUAAUUAAAUUAUUCCUUGGUUUUUCUACAUUUUGCAUUUAAUAUUGUCUCAGUACAGCUCCCUUAAUACUCUAUUUGAGUGUAAAGGGGCAAUCAAAAUUUAGCCACCAAGCUUAUCAUACAAAAGAAAAAGAUAUGUAUUCUUUCUGUUUUUCUUCAACUGUCCAGUUGACUCUAUUAUGGGUGAAAGGCUUUAAAAGUGACUGUCACUAAACACAUCCUUUAUAUGAUGUCAUUUAAAGAUUCAAUACAAUACUACUAGCAGUUAAAAUAAUUUUUAUUUUUUAGAUGCAAACGUUUUUGGCACUAGGACCAUCUUCAGGCCACACAAUUAGAAAUAGAACAAACUUUUCAAAUACUUAUAUUAGAACAAAGAUAUGCUAUGGUUACAAACAACAAAAAAAAAAAAACAAAAAACAUUAUGGCUAUUUACCAAUUGGUCAAAAUUAUAUAAGUUAUAUAAAUUAUAAAAAUUACAAAACUGAACUAGUUUAGACUAUUAUACAGAAUAAAUGAAUAAACAAAUAAAUAAAUAAAACCAAAUAUUUGUAGUCUUCAUGAGGUAUUACAGUAAUUUUCAUAUUGGUCUUGUCUAUGCUUGCUAUAUUACAUAGCUCUAGGGGAGGGGAUUUGAAUGUUGGUCUUUCAUUCAUAAUAUUUUCUUUCUUUUUCUUAUUAUUUCAAUUGAUUCCACUAUUAGAGCAUGUAUUAGUGUGCUAAUUUCUUAUAAUCCUUGCCUCAUCCCAUUUGAUUCUGAGGUUUUUGCUGUGGUUAAUUUUCCUUUUUCUAUGUCUUUAUGUUUCUUUGAUCUUUGGGCUAAUGUUCUUUUGAUUACUCCUUAUGUAUGCAAUUUCUCGCUCUGCUUAUCCUUGACUGGGAUUUUAUAUACACCUUUGUUCUUCUCUUUCUUGAAGGGGUCCUUAUCAUUUCUUAAGCUGUUAAAAACUGUCAGGUCUCUUUUUGCUGCUAUCUUCUUUCUUUUCUUUGCUAUCCUCUUUAUGAUGUUAAGGUUUUUUUAUAUUGUAGGAUACCAAUAUGUAUUCUUCCUGU
rnacentral:lncRNA from 1 species